rnacentral:rRNA from 1 species
UGGUCAAGUUAUUAAGGGUGCAGGGCGGAUGCCUUGGUACUAGGAGCCGAUGAAGGACGU